rnacentral:rRNA from 1 species
AACGAACGCUGGCGGCAGGCCUAACACAUGCAAGUCGAGCGAACCUUCGGGUUAGCGGCGGACGGGUUAGUAACGCGUGGGAAUAUGCCCAAAGGUACGGAAUAGCCUCGGGAAACUGAGAGGUAAUACCGUAUGUGCCCUUCGGGGGAAAGAUUUAUCGCCUUUGGAUUAGCCCGCGUUGGAUUAGGUAGUUGGUGGGGUAAUGGCCUACCAAGCCGACGAUCCAUAGCUGGUUUGAGAGGAUGAUCAGCAACACUGGGACUGAGACACGGCCCAGACUCCUACGGGAGGCAGCAGUGGGGAAUCUUAGACAAUGGGGGAAACCCUGAUCUAGCCAUGCCGCGUGGACGAUGAAGGCCCUUAGGGUUGUAAAGGUCCUUUACAGCUGGGAAGAUAAUGACGGUACCAGCAG